rnacentral:lncRNA from 1 species
UUUGAUCUCAUUUUUACGUGUUUUCCUUCUCUCCUUUCGCUUUCUCAGCAGCCCAACAGAGUGUCUCAAAGAAGGAUUUUUCUUUGGUGUUUUUGUUUCGUUAUAGAAACAUGGUUUAAGGUUUUGGUUGUUUGAUUCUGUGAAUUUGGGGUGUUGAUUGGGCGGUGUUUGGUUGGUAAAAAAAUGUAGGAAAAGGAAAGGAACGAUAACAUUAUAUUGAGCACAGUAGAUUGAUUUGUUUGAGUUAUUAACUGUUUUUAUUUGGAAGCAAAUGGAAAAAUAAAGCAUAAUACUCGAAUCACCUUUGUUUUCUGGUUUGCCAAACGAGGAUUAGGAUUUCUCUGCGCAUAUCCCGCUCAGUUUGGUUUGAAUCACCUAAUCCCAAACCCGGGCUAGGGUUUUUUUUUUCCCUCUGGAUCUGCCAUUUUCUGGUAUUUUUUUCCAUCUUCUAUUACCGUCUUGACAUGUCAACCUGGAUUGCCAAGAAAAAUGUGGGAAAAUAAAACGAAAUAAAGUGAUGUUGGUUACCGUCUGUCAAAACUGGUUUUGAUAAUUUUUCAGAAUGGAAGAGAUCAAAAUCAUGUAAACAAGCCCUGAAAAUAUUUUCCUCAAAACCCUAACCUCUUGGUUUAAGUGGGUUUUGGUAGUGAACUAGAUUUCUCAGAGCGCAACCAGACUUAAGUCAGGUAUCCACCCUUAUAUUCAAAACUAUGGUUGAUACAGUUACAUGUCUGGGAAAUUAACAGGGGCCUAUCGUUACAGAUGUCCUAAUGCUUUUCAAGCUCACAUCUGCUCCAUUUGGCCCCUACACAUGCUAGCUUAAUGCAACAAUCUCGGUUUGUUGGAUAGAAUGGCUAUCUAAUUCGAUGAACUUAGGAUCUUAGAUAUAAAAGAAAUUGUUGUUUUAGAUAAUCUUUACUGCAAUGGGUACUACAACUAAAAAUUAUUAUUAUUGUGAUUAGUAUUAUUACUGUUGUGUCUAAGUAAUUGAUGACUAUUCAUCUGAAGGCAUUCAGAUAAAUAUAUGCUAUUUGAGAGAUGGCUACUAUGGUUGGGGGUGAUAUUGUAAUUGAUUGGUUUCCUUUUGACUAGUUGAUGAUUGACCUGCCUGUGCUUUGUAAUAAAUUAAUCAUAGAACUCAGCUUAUAAUUCUGCAUUUAUUCUAAUGUAAAAAUAAUGCAAAUGUGUCAAGGUCGCUACAACCAUCAAUGGUUUUUAAAAAAGGUAAUUGAAUGCCUCAAAGAUUACCUUUUCAAUCAUUAUUCCCAUCCAACCCUUGGGGAUUUUGCACUUACAAUCAUGAAAACUAUCACAUCGUUGGCCUAGUAGAUUUUUUUUUUUUUUUUUUUUGAUAACCGUGGAUGUCCGGGCCAGCUUACGCGCACCUCGACUAAUCCCACGGGGCCCUGAAGUUAACGACCGGGUAAACCUCCAGUGGCCCUGAGGGGACUCGAGCUGGUGACCAUUGGGGAGCAAACCCAAGGCCUGACCAACUGAGCUACCCCUCAGGGAUCGUUGGCCUAGUAGAUUUUGUUUCAUUAUAUCCAAACAAAUUAGAGCUUGCAACUCUUCAUGCAGCAGAUACCUGGCAUAUGAGAUGUACAAAGGUUUCAGUUUGUGUAACCUGACUAGGGUUGUUAUUAGUCACCCAUAACCUUCUGUUUCUUAUUGAUUUUUAUUUUUUUGCAUCUUUGCACUCGCCCUAUGGGGUUAGUCAUGGACUAAACAUAUAUGCCCAUGAUGGGCCCAGCUUCAGAAUAUUGGUUUUCUAGCUUUACAAAUCUCUUAUGAUGUACUUCUAUUACAGAUUUGAAAUGUACUCAUGCUUUGAGUCCUAUUUUCGAUUGCAG